rnacentral:rRNA from 1 species
AACGUAGGGGGCGAGCGUUGCCCGGAUUCACUGGGCGUAAAGCGGGUGUAGGCGGUCUCUUAAGUCGGAUGUGAAAUCCUGCGGCCUAACCGCGGAACUGCAUCCGAUACUGGGAGACUUGAGGACGGUAGAGGUCGGUGGAAUUCCCGGUGUACCGGUGAAAUGGACAGAUAUCGGGAGGAACACCAGUGGCGAAGGCGGCCGACUGGGCCGAUCCUGACGCUGAGACCCGAAAGCCAGGGUAGCGAACCGG